CGGAAGAAUGAGUGUGAGAGAGAGAGUGAGUGAGUGUUGUGUGACUGAGUGAGUGUAAGUGAAAGAGUGUGUGACUAUGUAAGAAAAAAGAGUGAGAGCGCAAGUGAGUGAGGGAGGGAAGGAGCGAGUGAAUAUGUGUGUGAGUAAGAGUACGCAUGCAUGCUCAUGUGUUGCACACAUGUAGUAUUGUAAUGUCACUUCUUUAACCUGAAUAGUGUGUGUGUGUGUGUGUGUGUGUGUGUGUUUUGGUGCUGAUGAAGUUAAUUAGGCUGUCAUGUCCCCAUUGGAGGUUAUUUUUACAAACAAGUUCAGUGAAGGCAAUGGAUGGAUGUGAUUAAGAAGCUUGCUCUGCAACCACAUGGUUUUAAGCUCAGUACCACUACACAGCACCUUGGGAAAGGUGCUAGGCCACAAAUCAAUAAAUGGAAGAAAAUGAAGUUGUGUGACAUUGAUGACUUCCUCAGACACCAAAGUGACAUAACAGAUAUGAUGUGUCUGUAAAUGAAAGAACAACUAAAGUUACUGGACUGUGGCCAUGCUGGGGUACUGCCUUGAAGAGUUUUUUUAGUCAAAUGAAUCAACCCCAGAACUUAUUUUAUUUUUAAGCCUGGUAAUUAUUCUAUCAAUCUCUUUUGUCAAACUACUAAGUUACAUGGGACAGAAACAAAUUCAGGUUGUCAAGCAGUGAGGGAACAAAUACACACAUACACACACACACACACACACACACGCUCUCUCUCUCUCUCACACACACACUCACUCUCUCUCUCUCUCUCUCACACACACACACUCCCUCUCUCUCUCACACACACAAGAGGGGGUUCUAAACAGCUUUCAUCAAUUAAAUUCACAUGCAAAGCAUUGGUCAACCUGAGGUUAUAAAAGAAGACAAUUGCCUGAGGUGCCAUGAAGUGGGAUUGAACCUGAAACCAUGUGGUUGCAAAGUGAGCUUAUAAUCACACACCCAUACCAACACCUAUGUUUUACUACAGAACAAUGAUUAAGUUUAUAGAUAUUGGCUCCUAAAUAAUAAAUAAGCUAUGUAUAAAAAAGAAGCAAAGGUGGUGAGCUGGCAGAAACGUUAGCACGCUUUGUGGUAUUUCGUCUGUCUUUACGUUCUGAGUUCAAAUUCCACCGAGGUCGACUUUGCCUUUCAUCUUUUCAGGGUUGAUAAAUCAAGCACCAGUUGCAUAUUGAGGUUGAUCUAAUCAACUGGCCCCUCCCCCAAAAUUUCGGGCCUUGUGCCAAGAGUAGAAAAGAAUAUAUUCUUAAGGUGGUGAGCUGGCAGAAUAGUUAGCACGCUGGGCCAAAUGCUUAACAGUAUUUCGUCUGUCUUUAUGUUCUGAGUUCAAAUUCCGCCGAGGUUGACUUUGCUUUUCAUCCGUUCAGGGUCAAUAAAUUAAGUACCAGUUGCAUACUGGGUUGAUUUAAUCGACUGGCCCCCUCCACCCAAAUUACGGGCCUUGUGCUUAGAGUAGAAAAGAAUAAAGAAGCCUCUAAUACAGUGACCCGAUCUGUUAGAUAUAGAAGCUAAAUCUCCCUAGAUACACAAUGUCUAAAAAGAAGACAGGAUAGUCAUUGUAGGAAACCAUUUGAUCACAAGUCUGCUCGAUUAGAGCUGACCUGUAGCUAAACAACGACAGUAGAACAGGUUCAACAGGACAUAAGUGCACAACAACAUGUUUUCCUUUGGUCAUGUGAUGAUUGUCUGAGGGUCCCAGACGUCUUUCAAUGUAACCAUCUUGAUGACAUUAACGUUUAAAAUAUCUACUUAGAAACAAGUUACAAAGCAGUCAUUUAACUAUCCUAAAACAUGCAAAUCAGAAAAGAAAGAUUCAAAUCACACGAAUGUUGGUAUUUUAGUAAAUAGUCAAGAUUUAGUUAUUAAAAAUGGAAAGGGAUAGUAAGGGAGGUAACUGUAGUCAUCUAACUUCACCAAAUUGCUGUAUUCAAUUAACACAGUGAAACUACAAUUACAAAGCCAAACAAAAUAUUCUACAACGUAUAAGUUUACCUUCUUAAGGUUCUGAGUUCAAACCCUGUACAAGUAUGCUGCAAUUUUAACCCUUGCCUCAUCUGAUUGAUCAAAUAGUAUCAGUUGUUGUCGUGGUCAUUUAGCUCUAGUUCUCUGACCAAAGGCAUUCCAGUCGUGCCCAUCCUAUCUUAGUGUAUAUUUUAUAAUUGCAUUAUCCAUUCUGCACUCUUUUUCAAGACAAGCAGGGAUUCGAGGGAAUUUGGUGGAUGGUUUGUGUGUGUGUGUGUGUGUGUGUGUGUGUAAAAAAAAAGAGAAUAGUUUAGGCUAACUUUAACGAUUGUAUGUGAGUGUGUUUUCAUUAUAUAUAUGUGGGUUAGUGGUGAGGGUGCUGAACCCACAAUCAUAAGGCUGCAGGUUCAAUACUUGAAUCUGUUGCACAUUGUGUUUUUGGUUAGUUCAUUCGAUUCCAUGUUGUUCCAGUUCACUCAGCCGAAAUAAAUACCAGUUGAGUAGGGAGCCAAAAGGGAUGUCUGUGUUUGCUUCUGACUAUACAGGCGCUUAAACCAAUUAGCAAAAGUAGGGUACAAGCUACCAAGGGGUCUUUUCUCGCAAGUUACUUGGUGACCUCACAACAAAAAGCACCCAGUACACUCUGUAAAGUGGUUGGCAUUAGGAAGGGCAUCUGGCUGUAGAAACCCAGCCAAAGCAGACACUGGUGUUUGAUACAAACCCUCAAGCUCAUUGGGGCCUGUUGAACGACCCAGUUCAUGCCAGCAUGGAAUACGGAUGUUAAAUGGUGAUGAUGAAAUCAUCAUUGAAUCAAGGGGUUGGAGAAAGGUCAUUUCUUUUUUUAUCAUUUUGAAAUAUGGUUGAAAUUGUGCAGAGGAAUGAACUCUCACAGAUGUGCAAGAAGAGUCAAUAUGAAAUAAUGAUGUAUCAUGUGCUAGACGUAUUUUAAAUUUGCUCAUCUUAUCGAAUCAAAAAAAAAAAAAAAUUCUGGAAAAUUAAUAAAUUGAUAUAUAAAUAAAUAAAUUCCAGAUAUUAUACAAUUUUAUCUCAUUUGAGACCAAAAACAAACUAAAAAAAACUAAUAAAAUCUUGUAAAAUUUAAUGAUGUAAAAAUUUUGAAGUAAUAUUUUCCAAUGGUUUUGGUUCAUACAGACAUGCUUCUCAAGAAGAUAUUUCUCUCUCAUUAAAAAUAAUAACAACAUGGCUGAAAAGAAAGAAACAUUCUAUAGUUGUAGUAGUAGUAGUAGUAAUAGCACAAGUAGUAAUCAUAGUAGUGGUGGUCGUGGUGGUUGAAGUAAUAAUGGUAGUGGCAUUGGUUAUAGUAGUAGUUAUUCGUUGAGAGAUGCUUCUAGGCUGUAAUGGAAAUAUAUUGUACAACAAGCAGUAAAGAAUACUGGAUCUGAUUAGUACCAUUCCAGUUUCUUUUUGCUUUGUGCUUUUUUUUUUUUUGUUGGCAUUCUUUGUUUUUAUUGAAACUAUUAAUCAAUAAAAGAUAUCAAAAAAAAAAAUAUCUGCUAAAAUCAAUUCUUCCAAAAUUGAUUAAGAUGACGAAGAUAGAUACAGGAAAAUGUGUUGCAGGAUCUGGUCCAUUGUCAACUCUAUGUCUAAAAUUUUGAGAUUACAUGAGAUUUGUUUAUGUAACGGACAAAGGUUUUGGUGUAAUGGAAUCUACAAAGUGAAUUCUUUGCCUUAGGUUGAAGUAUAGAAUAGUUCUUAAUUGCUACAAUGUAUCAGGUGCAAAGCUAGAUUCUAAGAUAUUUUUUCCAAAAUCAUAACUGCGAUUCAAUUUUAAUUGCCAGAGGGAAUCAUUUAACAAAUAUUGUUAGUGUUCUCAGUAAACAAGUGGCCAUCUUAAUUUUCCUUUCCAUUUAAUCAGAUGUAUAAAUCUGGAUUUAGUUCUUUCCAAAGAUAUUUUAUCAUGUUUUGAGAUUAAAAAAAAACCAAAACAGUUUCUUAUUUCCCACAAUCUGCUUAAACUGAGACAUAAUUGAAGUCUAGCAGACACAGAGAAUACAGUUUGAAUAUAAAAUGGCUCCUUCAAGAAUUCGAGUUGAUAUAUCCAACAUAUGAUGAGAAAAAAAAAACAAAAACAUAUACAAAUAUACAUAGAUAGACACACACACACACAUAUAUAUGAUGUUCCUUGUUAAACAUAUACAUAAUGGUAUACACACUGGUGGUUUAAUCUAUAGCUUUUGCACAAAUGAGUUAAUGUUUUAUCUGUUACUUUCUGUAUUGGAGAAAGCAUUUCGGGUUGGCUCAGAACAUCCAGAAUGUUCAUUACUGAGAAGACCAAAUCAAGUCAAAACACCUGUAUCUGAUAAUCCACUGGAAUUCUGCUAGAAGUCCUGUAUUUGUAACCCACAAGUCUCUUUGAAAAGUUUCUGUGAGACAAGAUAUUGCAGCCAGUGCUGGUCGCUGUUAUUAUUCUCUUAAACCCAAAGAACACACACACACACACACAA